rnacentral:rRNA from 1 species
GCGUGUGUGAAGAAGGCCUGCGGGUUGUAAAGCACUUUCAAUUGUGAAGAAAAGGGUUUGGUUAAUACCCGAACUCCUUGACGUUAACUUUAGAAGAAGCACCGGCUAACUCCGUGCCAGCAGCCGCGGUAAUACGGAGGGUGCGAGCGUUAAUCGGAAUUACUGGGCGUAAAGCGUGCGUAGGCGGGCUGUUAAGUCAGAUGUGAAAGCCCCGGGCUCAACCUGGGAAUUGCAUUUGAUACUGGCAGUCUAGAGUGUAGUAGAGGGGGGUAGAAUUCCUAGUGUAGCGGUGAAAUGCGU